GCUGACACAUCACGGCCAAUCUCCAGCAGACCCUCCCUCCCAGGCCUUCCCACCUCCUGGACAGCAUCCAUGUUGAAGCUGCCUUCAACAUGGAUGCUGUCCAGGAGGUGGGAGGGUCUGGGAGGGAGGGUCUGCUGGAGAUUGACCGGGAUGUGUCAG
rnacentral:miRNA from 1 species